rnacentral:rRNA from 1 species
UACGAAGGGGGCUAGCGUUGUUCGGAAUUACUGGGCGUAAAGCGCACGUAGGCGGAUAUUUAAGUCAGGGGUGAAAUCCCAGAGCUCAACUCUGGAACUGCCUUUGAUACUGGGUAUCUGGAGUAUGGAAGAGGUGAGGUGGAAUUCCGAGUGUAGAGGUGAAAUUCGUAGAUAUUCGGAGGAACACCAGUGGCGAAGGCGGCUCACUGGUCCAUUACUGACGCUGAGGUGCGAAAGCGAUGGGGA